UGACCUGCCUUCGAGCGGGGGAUAACGUCCCGAAAGGGACGCUAAUACCGCAUAACAUCCUGCCUUUUAAGAGGUGGAGAUCAAAGCUGGGGAUUCGCAAGGACCUGGCACUUGAAGAGGGGCCCGCGCCUGAUUAGCUAGUUGGUGGGGUAAUGGCUCACCAAGGCAACGAUCAGUAUCCGGCCUGAGAGGGCGGACGGACACACUGGGACUGAGACACGGCCCAG
rnacentral:rRNA from 1 species